rnacentral:rRNA from 1 species
GUGUAGGGGUAAAAUCCGUAGAUAUUACUAGGAAUACCAAAUGCGAAGGCAAUCUACUGGGACAGUAUUGACGCUGUGGUGUGAAAGCGUGGGGAGCAAACAGGAUUAGAUACCCUGGUAGUCCACGCCCUAAACGAUGAAUGCUAGUCGUCGGGGAGCUAAUGUCUCUUCGGUGAUGCACCUAACGGAUUAAGCAUUCCGCCUGGGGAGUACGGUCGCAAGAUUAAAACUCAAAGGAAUAGACGGGGACCCGCACAAGUGGUGGAGCAUGUGGUUUAAUUCGACGAUACGCGAAGAACCUUACCUGGCCUUGACAUUGAUAGAAUUCUUUAGAGAUAAAGAAGUGCCUUCGGGAACUUGAAAACAGGUGCUGCACGGCUGUCGUCAGCUCGUGUCGUGAGAUGUUGGGUUAAGUCCCGCAACGAGCGCAACCCUCGUCGUUAGUUGCCAUCAGUUCGGCUGGGCACUCUAACGAGACUGCCUCCGUAAGGAGGAGGAAGGUGAGGACGACGUCAAGUCAUCAUGGCCCUUAUGGCCAGGGCUACACACGUGCUACAAUGGAAUAUACAGAGAGUUGCAAUAUCGCAAGAUGGAGCCAACCUUUAAAAUAUUUCUCAGUUCGGAUUGUUCUCUGCAACUCGAGAGCAUGAAGCUGGAAUCACUAGUAAUCGUGAAUCAGAAUGUCUCGGUGAAUACGU